rnacentral:tRNA from 1 species
GCCUGGGUGGUGGAAUUGGUAGACACAGGGGAUUCAAAAUCCCCCGCAGUAAUGCGUGCGGGUUCAAGUCCCGCCCUAGGCACCA